AAAUGGUAGUAGCACAAGGGAGGAUAUAGUUAAUGCUGCCUGGAUAUCAGCAGAAGUUUUACAGGGCUCUGAAGCUGAGUGUUGAAGAAUUCUCAGAAUUAUGACACAUAAUGGGAGAAACAGCAGUCUAGGCAGGUCUAGGCAGAGGGAACAGAAUGAACCAGAACAUUGAAAUAGCAUGGGCACAUUUUAAUACCCAUGUCCUGGAGGGCAAGAAACUCUCUUAAGACUCAACUGAUUGUAUCUCUCUUCAAGAGGAGAGUAAUGUAGAGCAGCAGACAACUCCAUGCUUUCCAGACAUCCACAUUCUGCCUUCAGUGAGUAAGUCCAUUCAUUUCCAUUGAGGCUCUCAUGAGUACUGUAAGAUAUUUUAGGGCAGAGCUGCAUCUCUUUCAUUUUCUCUGUUGAUGUAUAAUGCCUUGACCAUGCUAUUCCUAUAGAGGUGUCUCAGUCUAUUGCAUCAACCAGUUAACAUCAGGAAACCUCUCAAAUCUUCAAAAAAAAGUGUCCACAGUUGUCCAUUAUAAGCCUAGUUUUUAUGUUUUGUCCUUUUUAUUUCCCUCUACUCAAGGGUCCUAUGCUAAUAUCUCUUGCCCUAUCCACUGGUUCUUCAUUGCUCUUAAAGAACUUCUCAUCUUUCAUCCUGUCAUAGCCUCAGAAAACUCUGUAGAUCCUAGAGACAACAACAAGGUGCUUCCAUGAACCUUGGGGCAACCUCGCCUCUGUCAUCUCAGGGUGAUGAGGUCCCUUUACUUACCUCCACUGCUUCUUCAUCUACUACAUCUGCCAAAAAGUAAGAGCUGGAUUGGACAUGAUGGAGAGAGUAUUCCAAAGGCAGAACUUGCCUGCCUGCCACUGUUUGACUCAAAUUUGUCUUCUUACUCUUACCCUGGUUACCGAGAAGAAAGUAUUGGAGAUGUCUUUAAUUUUGGAGGCAAGAGGGAAGAGUUCAGAUUCUUCCUUACAACAUUUGUCAUGGAUUAACUGUAAUCAGGGGUCAGAGUCAAGAGUAACAAAUAACAAAAUUUUAUAACUAUGUAGGGUGAUGGAUGUUAAGUAGACAUUGUGUUGAUCAUUUUGCAAUCUAUAUAAAUAUUGGAUCAUGUUGCAUACCUGAAACUGGUAUAAUGUUGUGUGUCAAGUAUAG
rnacentral:lncRNA from 1 species